AAAACAGAGCACGUCCUCUGCAAAUGGAAAAACAGGAGGGAGACCAUUUGUUUUGUCCCAUUUUCUUCAUUUUCUCUUCUUUUCUUCAAGCUAAAUCAAAAGGGAGUGUGCUUAGGAGGAUUAUAUCCAAGAAAACAAAUUAAAUGACAACUUAGAGAGUUAUAGAGCUUGAGAGAAACAAAGAGAAGAAGCUAGAAAUUGGAAGAGGAGGACAUGAUUUUUGUAAAUUUUUGCAAGAAUUCAUUGAAAUAAGUUAAAGUAGCAAAGGGCUGGAACUUCGGCAGCCAUAUUUUGACUUUGCACCGUUGGAUUAGAGUUAGUUUUGGAUAUGUUAUUAUACUCAAUGUCACCUACAUUCUGACCGGAGGGAUUGCAAAUAUCAGAUUUCGUUUGAGGGCUGUCACCGGAGGAACAUUUCUGGAAAAUCACCCUUCAAGACAGCUUUGUUCGUCGGCCGUUAUAUCAUCGUUUCACCGUUGGAUUGGUCUGGAUUUUGGAUAUGUUAUUCAUCCAGAUGUUAUAUAAAUUCUGAACGGUUUGGAUUGGAAAAGAACACUCCUACCAGAAAUUAUACUUCCCGAACAGCAGGUCUCCAAAUUUCAGGAGAAGCAUUCACUCGACUUCUCAGGAGCUCGUAUAGUAGGAGCUUAAGGAGGGACUGCAAGAGGGGCACAACAACAACAAGGAAGAGCGAGUUGAGCUUCUGCAGCUGGAUGGAGGCAACUAUCGUAUCGCUUGGGACGUGAGAAUAGAAGUUCAUUAACCAUGGUCCUUCAGAUUCACGCCAGGAGUAGCGUUUUAGGUCCUCUAGUCUCCUUUUGUAUGAUUGAAUAAGAAGAUGAACAUUAAUGUAUUUUGUCUUUAAGGAACUAAAUGACUUAAUAUGUAAUAGUACUCCUUUUACAUUAAGUGUCGGACAUAAAAAUGUAUUAUUCUGUAUUUGUAAUCUUAGUUUGUUUACUUGCAAUUGUUAUGAAUUAUGUGUGUUAAUGGGAAAGAAAUGAGCAUGCGAAAUGUGAGGCAUGUACCAUGAA